UGAUCACCGCGGGGAGCAAGAUUCUGCCUGGGUGCACUCUAAUGCAUAAUUGUACCAGCACCUUUAAAGCGUUUAAAACGAAUGAUGCAAUCAGCUAUCAACAUCUUUCAAGACUUAACCUCACUGUCUCUUCUACUACAAACUCGAGACGUGUCAGCUGGAAUGACUACACUGUUUCAGAAUACAGCAUCCACACAUAUGCCAUAAUUUGCUACCCCUCUUAGGCUUCAUUUUAAUGUUGUAAUUGUGAACACCAUGCAAGUUGUGAAACACUUCAGUUGUGAGCUUGAUGAAAUGUUUUUUUUGUAUUCUUU
ensembl:lncRNA